UACAGAGGGGGCAAGCGUUGUUCGGAAUUACUGGGCGUAAAGAGCGUGUAGGCGGCCCGAUAAGUCCGCCGUGAAAGUCCAGGGCUCAACCCUGGAAUGCCGGUGGAAACUGUCGGGCUGGAGUCCGGAAGAGGCGAGUGGAAUUCCUGGUGUAGCGGUGAAAUGCGCAGAUAUCAGGAGGAACACCAAUGGCGAAGGCAGCUCGCUGGGACGGUACUGACGCUGAGACGCGAAAGCGUGGGGAGCAAACAGG
rnacentral:rRNA from 1 species